GGACGAACGCUGGCGGCGUGCUUAACACAUGCAAGUCGAGCGGAAAGGCCCUGCUUUUGUGGGGUGCUCGAGUGGCGAACGGGUGAGUAACACGUGAGUAACCUGCCCUUGACUUUGGGAUAACUUCAGGAAACUGGGGCUAAUACCGGAUAGGAGCUCCUGCUGCAUGGUGGGGGUUGGAAAGUUUCGGCGGUUGGGGAUGGACUCGCGGCUUAUCAGCUUGUUGGUGGGGUAGUGGCUUACCAAGGCUUUGACGGGUAGCCGGCCUGAGAGGGUGACCGGCCACAUUGGGACUGAGAUACGGCCCAGACUCCUACGGGAGGCAGCAGUGGGGAAUAUUGCACAAUGGGCGGAAGCCUGAUGCAGCAACGCCGCGUGCGGGAUGACGGCCUUCGGGUUGUAAACCGCUUUCGCCUGUGACGAAGCGUGAGUGACGGUAAUGGGUAAAGAAGCACCGGCUAACUACGUG
rnacentral:rRNA from 1 species